rnacentral:tRNA from 1 species
UCAGCUAUAAAAGCUGACGGGUUCAUACCUCGUUUAUGAACUAAAAUGCCUGAGUAA